rnacentral:misc_RNA from 1 species
AAAUAGAAGAUGAUGAUUGAAGUUGAUGGAAAGAAAGGAUGGCCAUAUUUCCUUUGUUUGGAUGUCCUAACAAGGAAUUGUGGAAGAAAAGGAUAUAAUACGCUUCUAUCUUUAUAGCGUUAAAGGAUGGAGAGGAAGAACAAGAAGAAGAACCAAAGAGAGAGAGUUCCAACUUCCAUGGGUUGAGGAUGAGAUAGUACAUAUGAUGGGCAGACAUAAAGAGAAGACUUCUCUACAACUCCCAAUGCUGGCUUUUCUUGUGCAAUUUGUCUCCCUCCACUUGGAAUCUCAACGUACGAUGAAGAAUCUUCUCAAGAGACCUAUUCCAAUAUCUAUGUGCACUAAAAAGAAUAUCCUCGAUGCAACAAAGCAAUGGUUCUCAGUUGGCACACUGGAAACUUGAGAGCUGUACGUUAAUGGGAUCCACACCAAGUUGAGUGGAGAAUGCCUUAGAGAUUCUCUCUUUUAUUGGUACACCAUUUUAAUUCACAUUUCCUUCUAGCAAAUCAAUUUUUUUUUUCCUUGUCAUUUGCUCCACAGGCCCAGGUGGUCAUCAGUAUGAAUAUGAAUUCCCAUUAAUUAUGGCGAGUUGUCCCCUUCUUUCUGAACUCGAGAGAAGACAGAAAAGAGUCACUUCAAUGGUCUAUAAAAAUCAGGCUAGGUGGAUCUUAGUUUUUGGUUUAAUGUUAUUGCAAUACUUUAAUAUUUGAAUUUAGGAUAUGAUUAUAAAAAGCUCAACUUCCUA